rnacentral:snRNA from 1 species
AUCACUUUUCGGCCUUUUGGCUAAGAUCAAGUGUAGUAUCUGUUCUUAUCAGUUUAAUAUCUGAUAAGCAGCCAGGUUGGGUGGCUCAACCUGUAAUCCCAGCACUUUGGGAGGCUGAGGAUUGGCUGAAUGGAUUGCCUAAGCCCGUGGGUUUGAGACCCACCCAGGGAACUUAGCGAGACC